rnacentral:sRNA from 12 species
AUGAGGAGAGUCCCCAAAUGAUGCGCAGCAUUAUUUCUUCAAAUGGGACCGACGACGUGCCGCCUACGCCAGAGGCGGAGGGGGCGACACCAUAA